GCCUAGUUAGCUUAGUUGGUAGUGCGUCUGCCUUGUAAGCGCUAGGUCGCGGGUUCGAUUCCCGCCCGGAGCG
rnacentral:tRNA from 1 species